rnacentral:rRNA from 1 species
AUUGAACGCUGGCGGCAGGCCUAACACAUGCAAGUCGAGCGGUAACAGGGGUAGCUUGCUACCCGCUGACGAGCGGCGGACGGGUGAGUAAUGCAUAGGAAUCUGCCCGAUAGUGGGGGAUAACCUGGGGAAACCCAGGCUAAUACCGCAUACGUCCUACGGGAGAAAGGGGGCUUCGGCUCUCGCUAUUGGAUGAGCCUAUGUCGGAUUAGCUAGUUGGUGAGGUAAUGGCUCACCAAGGCAACGAUCCGUAGCUGGUCUGAGAGGAUGAUCAGCCACAUCGGGACUGAGACACGGCCCGAACUCCUACGGGAGGCAGCAGUGGGGAAUAUUGGACAAUGGGCGAAAGCCUGAUCCAGCCAUGCCGCGUGUGUGAAGAAGGCCCUCGGGUUGUAAAGCACUUUCAGCGAGGAAGAACGCCUAGUGGUUAAUACCCAUUAGGAAAGACA